UAGGGAAUCUUCCGCAAUGGGCGAAAGCCUGACGGAGCAACGCCGCGUGAGUGAUGAAGGUUUUCGGAUCGUAAAGCUCUGUUGCCAGGGAAGAACGUCGGGUAGAGUAACUGCUAUCCGAGUGACGGUACCUGAGAAGAAAGCCCCGGCUAACUACGUG
rnacentral:rRNA from 1 species